UACGUAGGGUGCGAGCGUUUAAUCGGAAUUACUGGGCGUAAAGCGUGCGCAGGCGGUUCGUUGUGUCGGUGGUGAAAUCCCCGGGCUUAACCUGGGAAUGGCCAUGGAAACUGGCGAACUGGAGUGCGGCAGGAGGGGGUGGAAUUCCGCGUGUAGCAGUGAAAUGCGUAGAGAUGCGGAGGAACACCGAUGGCGAAGGCAGCCCCCUGGGCUAGCACUGACGCUCAGGCACGAAAGCGUGGGGAGCAAACAGG
rnacentral:rRNA from 1 species